UCGUUAGCUCAGUCGGUAGAGCAGUUGACUUUUAAUCAAUUGGUCGCUGGUUCGAAUCCAGCACGA
rnacentral:tRNA from 8 species